rnacentral:rRNA from 1 species
UACGAAGGGGGCGAGCGUUGUUCGGAAUUACUGGGCGUAAAGGGCGCGUAGGCGGCCGAUCAAGUCAGAUGUGAAAGUCCUGGGCUUAACCUGGGGACUGCAUUUGAUACUGAUUGGCUUGAAUGCAGGAGAGGAUAGCGGAAUUCCCAGUGUAGAGGUGAAAUUUGUAGAUAUUGGGAAGAACACCGGUGGCGAAGGCGGCUAUCUGGACUGUGAUUGACGCUGAGGCGCGAAAGCGUGGGGAGCAAACAGG